UACGGGGGGGGCAAGCGUUGUUCGGAAUUACUGGGCGUAAAGGGCUCGUAGGUGGCCAACUAAGUCAGACGUGAAAUCCCUCGGCUUAACCGGGGAACUGCGUCUGAUACUGGAUGGCUUGAAUCCGGGAGAGGGAUGCGGAAUUCCAGGUGUAGCGGUGAAAUGCGUAGAUAUCUGGAGGAACACCGGUGGCGAAGGCGGCAUCCUGGACCGGCAUUGACGCUGAGGCGCGAAAGCCAGGGGAGCAAAGCGGG
rnacentral:rRNA from 1 species